ensembl:lncRNA
GACGUGAGGUCCCGCCCCGUUGCAGAAAGACAAGGAGCCCAUUGGUGUGUUGUGGUGCUUCUACAGGCCGGAAGGAGAUUGUGAGCGUAGUGGCUGCGCGGGACUUUUCCAGUCUAGUUCCCCUUGGGGUCACCUGAGAAACCUCAGAGACUGUAGAUGUAGACAUUGGCACUUAUCAAAAUUUUGUCCUCCAGUUUGAAGUGAGAACCACAGAUCUGAGCCGAGAUCCUGCAUUUAUGUUCAGAAAAGCAAAGGCCCAGAGAGGUCAACACCAAGCAGGAAGUUUGCACUGCUCAGCUUCAGACCUACAAGGUUUUCACCACACCAGUCUUAAGUCCUACCUGAUCAAUCAGAAUCUGUCAUUCCUCACAUGACCCAGUUUGCUAGUCUUGGAUCUCUUAAAUUAUGAAGGCAAUAGCUGUUGCUUAAGGGCUAGUGCACAAAUGCCUGUUUCUGCUCUAACUGGAGGUCUGCAUGGGGAAGAACGCAAGCUGAAUCGUUUUUAUCACCUUGUACAAAGCUGACCCACAGCAGAACGAUCUGGAGAGAGUGAGAGACUUUGGAACACUCAGUCCUAAAUGAGAUGUCUUCAUCAAACCCCACCCCUCAGCACUCUGGGAGCC